rnacentral:lncRNA from 1 species
UAAAAACGAGGCUUUAGCCAGGAGAAAACAAUUGGCAGUACUCAGUUGAAAGUGCUUGAUUGUUAAUAUAUAUCAGCCGUGGUUCUCCAGCGUCCUCAGUGUUGUUCAGUCUUGCUCUUUUUGGCAACUACUGAAUGCUUGAAAAUUUCUCUCCUGUACUCCCACUCUGCACUGUAGAAGAGAAAGAGCGGAGAAGAGAGGAGAAAGACAGACAGAAGAGAGAAACAUGGGCAUGGAUGAUACAUAAGGUAAUAAUUCCAGAAGAUUUCAGCAUAGCAGAUAAAAUACAGCAAAUCCUAACCAGCACAGGUUUUAGUGACAAACGGGCCCGUUCCAUAGACACAGAUGAUUUCAUCAGGUAAUUACAUUUUUGUGUUCGUAAGCGUUUACACGUCUUUACUGUGACACCUUCAGAUUAGAGAUUUUAAAGGCUUUUAAGCGGUAUAAGGUGCUACCUGGGAUAGUUAUUGCAUAGCACUUUCAUGGCAUGGAAUAGUGUUUGGUGUAGAAGAUGAAGGCUAGUUAGCUGCAGCAGAAUGAACAUUUCUUUAAGAACAGUAGUAAAGAACACUCCAGGCCAGAAUAUUGCCUCUGUGUUAAUGUGGUGUGCAUGUUUCUCCCCUCCUGCUCCCUCCCCAACUCUCCUUCACAGUCUUAGUAUUAAUAGCUUAUCCCUCCAAAAUAGUCCAUAAGGUAGAAAAAUCAUAAUAUAUGUAGCUGGAUCUGAUUUUUAGAAUUUGCUUAUUGGGAAUAGCUGUUGUUAAAUCAAUCUAAAGCAUACAAUAAUGUCAGUUAGAAUCCUACCUGGCUAUCCUUUUAGUAAUAAUAUAGUUAGUUUUGUAACCCAAGGCAAGUUCUACACUUCUCAAGUAAAAAGAUGUCUUAAUUAUCUAGGUAAUUUAGAACAAAAUUUGUUUUGCUUGAA